GAAUGGCAUCCUCACCUCCAGGUGAGAAUCUGACGCAUAAAACAGCACCCUGCAACCCCAGGUGAGCAUCUGACAGUCUGGAACAGCAUCCACACCCCCAGGCGAGCAUCUGACUGUAUGGAAUGACAUCCUCACAUCCAGGUGAGAAUAUGACAGAAUAAAGCAGCACCCUGCACCCCCAGUUGAGCAUCUGACAGCCUGGAACAGCACCCACACUCCCAGGUGAGCAUCUGACAGCCUGGAGCAGUACCCACACCCCCAGGUGUGCAUCUGACAGCCUGAAACAGCACCCUCCACCACCAGAUGAGCAUCUGACAACCAGAACCUGCACCACACACCCCAAGGUGGGCAUCCGAUGGCAUGGGACAGCACCCCCACUCACAGGUGAUGUGACUGCGUGGAACAGCACAUCCCCUCAGGUGAGCAUCUGACAGGAUAAAACAGCACCCCACAACCCCAGGUGAUCAUUUGCCAGCCAGGAACGGCAACCCACAUCCCCAGGUAAGUGUCUGACAGCCUAGAGCGGCACCUGCACACUUAGGUAAGAAUCUGAAAGCCUGGAUCAACACUCGAAUCUUCAGGUGAGCAUCUGACAGCCUGGAGCAGCAGUGCCCACCCCUGGGUGAGGAUGCUCACCUGAGGUUGGGAGUGCCAGUCCAGGCUGCCAGAUCCUCACCUGGGGAUGGAAGGUGCCAUUGUAGGUUUUUGGAUGUUCACAUGGGGGUUAAGGGUGGUGUUCCGGGUUAUCAGAUGCUCACCUGGGGACGCGUGGAAAACCAUGCCCACCACAAGGUGAGCAUAUGACAGCCCGGAACAACACCCUCCACCCCCAGGUGAGCAUCUGACAGCCUGGAACAGAACCCCACAACUUCAAAUAAGAAUUUGAUAAGUGGGAAAAAGCUCCCCGCCCUCAGGUGAGUGUCUGACAGCCUGGAACAGCACCCCACAACUGCAGGUGAGCAUCUGAUAGCCUGGAUAGGCACUCCACACAGCCAGGUGAGCAGCUGAAAGCCUGGAAUGGUAACCCACAUGCAGGUGAGCAUCCGACAGCCUGGAACAGCAGCUCACAUCCCCAGGUAAGAUUCCAACAGCAUGGAACAAGACCACUGCCCCCAGGUGAGCAUCUGGCAGCCUGGUAAAACAACCCCCUUCAGGUGAGCAUCCGACAGCCUGGAACAGCAGCUCACAUCCCCAGGUAAGAUUCCAACAGCAUGGAACAAGACCACUGCCCCCAGGUGAGCAUCUGGCAGCCUGGAAAAACAACCCCCUUCAGGUGAGCAUCUGACAGCCUGGAACAGCACCCUCCACCUUCAGGUGAGAAUAUGACAGCCUGAAACAGCACCCCACACCCCAGGCAAAAAUCUGACAGCAUGGAACAAGACCACUGCCCCCAGGUGAGCAUUUGACAGCCCGGGAAAGUACCCUCCAUGCACAGGUGAGCAUCUGACAGCCUGGAAACCCCCCCACUGCUUCCAGGUGAACAUCUGAUAGCCUGGAACAGAACCCCAGUUCUCCAAGUAAGGAUCUGAAAGCACGGAACAGCACUCUCACCCCCAGGGGAGCAUCUGACAACCUAGAACAGCACCCUCACCCCGAGGUGGGCAUCUGGCAGCAUAAAACAGCACCCCUACUGGCAGAUGAGCAUAUGACAGCGUGGAACAGCACCCACGCACCCAGGUGAGCAUCUGACAGCCUGGAACAGCACCCCACACCCCCAGGUGAGCAUCUGACAGCCUGGAACAGCACCCACACCCCCAGGUGAGCAUCUGACAGCCUGGAGCAGCACCCUACACCCCCAGGGGAGCAUCUGACAGUCUGGAGCAGCACCCACACCCCCAGGUGAGCAUCUGACAUCCUGGAACAGCACCCCACGCCCCCAGGUGAGCACCUGACAGCCUGGAACAGCACCCCACACCCCCAGGUGAGCAUCUGACAGCCUGGAACAGCACCCACACCCCCAGGUGAGCAUCUGACAGCCUGGAGCAGCACCCCACACCUCCAGGGGAGCAUCUGACAUCCUGGAACAGCACCCCACACCCCCAGUGAGCAUCUGACAACCUGGAGCAGCACCCCACACCUCCAGGGGAGCAUCUGACAUCCUGGAACAGCACCCCACACCUCCAGGGGGAGCAUCUGACAGCCUGGAGCAACACCCCACACCUCCAGGGGAGCAUCUGACAGCCUGGAACAGCACUCCACACCUCCAGGGGAGCAUCUGACAGCAUGGACAAGUCCUGCCCCCCGAACUCCAGCCCUUAAGAAAAUCAGAAGCCCUGGCAGGCACAUUGCCUCUGUGCUGUGCUUUUACCCAGCGAAGCAUCAGGGCAGACAGCCAAUUUCAACACUGCUCUUGGCUGGGAAGUGCCCUCAUCUCUGGCAGCCCCCACAGAGAAAGUGCAGGGCCCCGGGGCUGUGGCUGCCUCAGGGCAGGUCUCCCUUGUGACAGCCUCUUGUCAUGGGCCUGGGAGUGGACCCCUCCCAUCCCUGCCGUGCAUCCUGUUGAGUAGACAGCUCAGGCUAGUACCCAAGAGGGUGGCCAGCAGAUCACAGGGGAUGUCCCUUUUGUCUUAGCUGUUUAUGGGCUGGAGGAACCACUGUUCAGCCACAUCUCCUCUCCUGCCCCUCCUGCAUUCACCCGAGGUUGAUGGGAGCUCUGUGGGGGGAGACAGGCAGGGGAGGGGCCAGGCAACACCUGGGCAUAUCCCCAGGGUGCCUCCUCUGAUCCCCAGGAGGGGCAGCACCCACCCUCUUCUUUUUCCAAUUUGUUUUUAUUGUGGUUAAAUAUACAUAACGUAAAAUUUA
rnacentral:lncRNA from 1 species